GAUGAAGAACGUAGCGAAAUGCGAUACGUAGUGUGAAUUGCAGAAUUCAGUGAAUCAUCGAAUCUUUGAACGCACAUUGCACCUCUCGGUAUUCCGGGAGGUAUGCCUGUUCGAGCGUCAUUUCACCACUCAAGCCUCGCUUGGUAUUGGGCAACGCGGUCCGCCGCGUGCCUCAAAUCGACCGGCUGGGUCUUCUGUCCCCUAAGCGUUGUGGAAACUAUUCGCUAAAGGGUGUUCGGGAGGCUACGCCGUAAAACAACCCCAUUUCUAAGGUUGACCUCGGAUCAGGUAGGGAUACCCGCUGAACUUAAGCAUAUCAAUAAGCGGAGGA
rnacentral:misc_RNA from 1 species